GAUGAACGCUAGCUACAGGCUUAACACAUGCAAGUCGAGGGGAAACGACAUCGAAAGCUUGCUUUUGAUGGGCGUCGACCGGCGCACGGGUGAGUAACGCGUAUCCAACCUGCCCAUCACUUGGGAAUAACCUUGCGAAAGUAAGACUAAUACCCAAUGACAUCCCACGAAGACAUCUGAAUGGGAUUAAAGAUUUAUCGGUGAUGGAUGGGGAUGCGUCUGAUUAGCUUGUUGGCGGGGUAACGGCCCACCAAGGCAACGAUCAGUAGGGGUUCUGAGAGGAAGGGCCCCCACAUUGGAACUGAGACACGGUCCAAACUCCUACGGGAGGCAGCAGUGAGGAAUAUUGGUCAAUGGGCGAGAGCCUGAACCAGCCAAGUAGCGUGCAGGAUGACGGCCCUAGGGGUUGUAAACUGCUUUUAUAAGGGAAUAAAGUGGGUCUCGGGAGACUUUUUGCAUGUACCUUAUGAAUAAGGACCGGCUAAUUCCGUG
rnacentral:rRNA from 1 species